rnacentral:rRNA from 1 species
CCUACGGGGGGCAGCAGUGAGGAAUAUUGGUCAAUGGACGAGAGUCUGAACCAGCCAAGUAGCGUGAAGGAUGACUGCCCUCUGGGUUGUAAACUUCUUUUAUAUGGGAAUAAAAUGUUCCACGUGUGGGAUUUUGUAUGUACCAUAUGAAUAAGGAUCGGCUAACUCCGUGCCAGCAGCCGCGGUAAUACGUAGGAUCCGAGCGUUAUCCGGAUUUAUUGGGUUUAAAGGGAGCGUAGGUGGAUUGUUAAGUCAGUUGUGAAAGUUUGCGGCUCAACCGUAAAAUUGCAGUUGAAACUGGCAGUCUUGAGUACAGUAGAGGUGGGCGGAAUUCGUGGUGUAGCGGUGAAAUGCUUAGAUAUCACGAAGAACUCCGAUUGCGAAGGCAGUUCACUGGACUGCAACUGACACUGAGGCUCGAAAGUGUGGGUAUCAAACAGGAUUAGAUACCCUUGUAGUC